AUCCUCUUCAACAGCACAUAUACUAAAAUUGGAAGAAUACACAGAAGAUUAGCAUGGCCCAGCACAAGGAUGACAUGCAAAUCAUCUAGGCCUGACACCCCCAA